GAGUAAUGUCUGGGAAACUGCCUGAUGGAGGGGGAUAACUACUGGAAACGGUGGCUAAUACCGCAUAACGUCGCAAGACCAAAGAGGGGGACCUUCGGGCCUCUUGCCAUCAGAUGUGCCCAGAUGGGAUUAGCUUGUUGGUGAGGUAACGGCUCACCAAGGCGACGAUCCCUAGCUGGUCUGAGAGGAUGACCAGCCACACUGGAACUGAGACACGGUCCAGACUCCUACGGGAGGCAGCAGUGGGGAAUAUUGCACAAUGGGCGCAAGCCUGAUGCAGCCAUGCCGCGUGUAUGAAGAAGGCCUUCGGGUUGUAAAGUACUUUCAGCGGGGAGGAAGGUGUUGUGGUUAAUAACCGCAGCAAUUGACGUUACCCGCAGAAGAAGCACCGGCUAACUCCGUGCCAGCAGCCGCGGUAAUACGGAGGGUGCAAGCGUUAAUCGGAAUUACUGGGCGUAAAGCGCACGCAGGCGGUCUGUCAAGUCGGAUGUGAAAUCCCCGGGCUCAACCUGGGAACUGCAUUCGAAACUGGCAGGCUUGAGUCUUGUAGAGGGGGGUAGAAUUCCAGGUGUAGCGGUGAAAUGCGUAGAGAUCUGGAGGAAUACCGGUGGCGAAGGCGGCCCCCUGGACAAAGACUGACGCUCAGGUGCGAAAGCGUGGGGAGCAAACAGGAUUAGAUACCCUGGUAGUCCACGCCGUAAACGAUGUCUACUUGGAGGUUGUGCCCUUGAGGCGUGGCUUCCGGAGCUAACGCGUUAAGUAGACCGCCUGGGGAGUACGGCCGCAAGGUUAAAACUCAAAUGAAUUGACGGGGGCCCGCACAAGCGGUGGAGCAUGUGGUUUAAUUCGAUGCAACGCGAAGAACCUUACCUGGUCUUGACAUCCACGGAAGUUUUCAGAGAUGAGAAUGUGCCUUCGGGAACCGUGAGACAGGUGCUGCAUGGCUGUCGUCAGCUCGUGUUGUGAAAUGUUGGGUUAAGUCCCGCAACGAGCGCAAC
rnacentral:rRNA from 2 species